GACGAACGCUGGCGGCGUGCUUAACACAUGCAAGUCGAACGGAGCGAAUGAAAGCUUGCUUUUAUGAGCUUAGUGGCAAACGGGUGAGUAACACGUAGACGACCUGCCGACAGGAUGGGGACAACAUUCCGAAAGGAAUGCUAAUACCGAAUGAAGCGGAGGAGAGGCAUCUCUCCUCCGUGAAAGAUGGCCUCUAUUUAUAAGCUAUCACCUGUCGAUGGGUCUGCGUCUGAUUAGCUGGUUGGUGAGGUAACGGCUCACCAAGGCGACGAUCAGUAGCCGGUCUGAGAGGAUGAACGGCCACAUUGGGACUGAGACACGGCCCAGACUCCUACGGGAGGCAGCAGUGGGGAAUCUUCCGCAAUGGGCGCAAGCCUGACGGAGCAACGCCGCGUGAGUGAAGAAGGUCUUCGGAUCGUAAAGCUCUGUUGAUGGGGACGAAUGUGCGUGAUGCGAAUAGUGUCAUGCAAUGA
rnacentral:rRNA from 1 species